rnacentral:misc_RNA from 1 species
UUAAGUUCAGCGGGUAGUCCUACCUGAUUUGAGGUCAAAAUGUCAAUUAAGAUUGUUGUCCCUUGCGAGACGGUUAUAAGCAGGUUCCCAUAAGUUUGCUUCAAAGUCAACUGGCAUAGAUAAUUAUCACACCAAGUGACGGUCCACAAGAGAUCCCACUAAUGCUUUUAAAGGGAGCAGACCAUCCACUGAAGGAAGCC